rnacentral:rRNA from 1 species
CAGCCGUAAACUAUGCUCGCUAGGUGUCAGGCAUGGCGCGACCGUGUCUGGUGCCGCAGGGAAGCCGUGAAGCGAGCCACCUGGGAAGUACGGCCGCAAGGCUGAACUUAAGGAAUUGGCGGGGGAGCACAACAACGGGUGGAGCCUGCGGUUUAAUUGGACUCAACGCCGGACAACUCACCGGGAACGACAGCAAUAUGUAGGCCAGGCUGAAGACCUUGCCUGAAUCGCUGAGAGGAGGUGCAUGGCGUAGACGUCU